AAAAUACUCCCCCGUCCGGAAAUACUUGUUCUAGAAAUGAAUAUAAUGAAUGUAUCUAUAACUAAAAUAAGUCUAGAUACAUUCAUCUAAGACAAGUAUUUCCGGACGGAGAGUGUAUAAG
rfam:Hordeum vulgare subsp. vulgare, WGS project CAJW01000000 data, contig: morex_contig_50817